GAAACGCUCACUAAGCUUUACCAUGUCAAGUAGCAGCCUCUACUCACCUUCUUUCCUCUCUUCUCCCCUACCUAAAAUUUCUUUGUCUUUCCUCUCUCCUUCAUUGUUCUCUCCAUCCCCACUCUUCCCAUCAAAUCCUUUCUUUUCCCUCCAAAUCCCUCGCUCUUCUCCCUCCCUUUUCAAGUUGACCUCCCACAAUUCCUUCGCUAACACCCACAUUGAUGAAUUCCAAGACGACGAAGCCGAUACAGAGUUUGAUGAGUCUGACACCGA
rnacentral:misc_RNA from 1 species